CACCUUUCUUUCUUUUUUGAUUGUUACUAGCUACCAAUAUUCAUUCUUUAUUUCAAGAACGAUAUCAUUUAAUUAAUUAGUUCCUACAAAAUGCCAUGCAUAUUUACUUUAUUUAAAACAUACAAUUUGCCAGAUAUAAUAUAUAUGUAACAACUAUGUUGAUGCACGAAUUUCAACAAAGUAUAUUUGUAAGUUCUUUGAUAAGGGAAAAACAUUCUCAUUGCGUUGAAGGUCGGGAGCUAGGCCGUUCUCGCGAUAAACAUAGAGUUUAUUUGUUUUAUAGCUGCGUCUUGUGAAAGACUGCCUACGUACCCUUAGAAAGGGAUCAAGCCAUUCGUAGUUCAUAUUAAAACAAGUGGGAGCUAGGCCAUAUUUGCGGCUAGGCGAUCUGUUGACGUGCUGGAUAGCUUGGGGACGAUUUGGACGAGCCGAGCUGUUAACUGAGAAGCUGGACGAGCUGAGCAGUCAACAGAGAAGCUAGACGAGCCGGGAGAUGAGAUUGACGAUCUGGAUCGUUAGGCGAGCUGAAGAGCUUGAAGACGAGCUGAAGAGCUUGAUGACGAGCUGAGGAGCUUGAAGACGAGAUGAAUAGCUUGCAGACGAGCUGAAGAGCUUGAUGACGAGCUGAAGAGCUUGAUGACGAGCUGAAGAGCUUGAUGACGAGCUGAAGAGCUUGAUGACGAGCUGAAGAGCUUGAUGACGAGCUGAAUAGCUUGCAGACGAGCUGAAGAGCUUGAUGACGAGCUGAAGAGUUUGAUGACGAGCUGAAGAGCUUGAUGACGAGCUGAAGAGCUUGAUGACGAGCUGAAUAGCUUGCAGGCGAGCUGAAGAGCUUGAUGACGAGCUGAAGAGUUUGAUGACGAGCUGAAGAGUUUGAUGACGAGCUGAAGAGCUUGAUGAUGAGCUGAAGAGCUUGAUGACGAGCUGAAUAGCUUGCAGACGAGCUGAAGAGCUUGAUGACGAGCUGAAUAGUUUGAUGACGAGCUGAAGAGCUUGAAGACGUUUUUAGUAUGGAUUUCUUCUCCUUUUUUUCCUCCCCCUCUCUUCAAUGAGAUGCCUCUCUAUUUAUA
rnacentral:lncRNA from 1 species